rnacentral:tRNA from 1 species
AAAAAGAUAAGCUAAUCAAGCUCCUAGGUUCAUACCCUAAUUAUAAAGGCCCACCCCUUUUCUUUUUG